ACAGAGGGUGCUAGCGUUGUUCGGAAUCAUUGGGCGUAAAGGGCGUGUAGGCGGUUUGUUAAGUCAUGUGUGAAAGCCCCCGGCUCAACCGGGGAGUGCGGCUGCGAACUGGGUUUCUUGAGGACGAUAGAGGAGAGUGGAAUUCCUGGUGUAGCGGUGAAAUGCGUAGAUAUCAGGAGGAACACCCGAGGCGAAGGCGGCUCUCUGGGUCGUACCUGACGCUGAGGCGCGAAAGCGUGGGGAGCGAACGGGA
rnacentral:rRNA from 1 species